rfam:Felis catus isolate Cinnamon breed Abyssinian chromosome A3, whole genome shotgun sequence.
GCCUGGGUGGCUCAGUCAGUUGAGCGUCCGACUCCGGCUCGGGUCAUGAUCUCCUGGUUCGUGAGUUCGAGCCCCGCGUCGGGCU